GGCACCAUUCUCCAUGAUGCUCAUGGCUCCCAGUGCUCAGCCCUGUGUUUUCUAGGCAUACCUCGUUGGACUCCAUGGUUUCUGUUACUUGUGGGUUUCUUCCUGCAUUGCUUGAACUUGACUCAGUGCAUUUGCUGAGCAGGCCACCAACUGUUGGCAUGUGCAUACCAUCUAGUACCCAAAAUACUUCGAGAAAUGCUUCUUCUCUCCAGUUUGAAUCAUGUGAGUUGAGUAAGACCACAGAAGAAUCCGUUCCUGAAAUGUAGGACUUGGGAGAGAGAGCAUGAUGCCGGUCCUUUCUGGAGGCAGACAAUUCAAGGUACGAGAGAAAUUGCAGAAGAAGCUUACCUGUAGAAGAAUCAGUGAAAGGUGGAAGAAAUCCUGCCAUUUCUCAUAAUUUGAUUUUAUUGCUUCCAAUGAGAGCCCACAUAAGUUUUCUUUAGACACCAUCCAGGAUACCACAUACACUUAGUUGUUAUUUUUCCUUAAACUCCUCUUGCUUAGGAAAGCUUUUCACACUUUUCUUGUUUUUGAUGGCUUUGGAAAUUUUGAAGAGUGGCGGUCAGAUAUGUUACACAAUGUCUUUCUCUUGGAAUGUGCAAUGAUUUUGUCAAGAUUAGAAUGGGAUUAUGGAAUCCAGGAAGAAAUUACAAGUAUCAGACGUCUUUUUCAUCACAUCAUAUUAAUGGCACAUAUGAGCCACAUGAUUUGUGACCACUGAU